UCUCUCAGCCGGAGGCCUGGCUUGUCUUUCAAGAGGACCACGUGUUUGGUGGAGCAGCUAAUGGUAAAAUAUGCAGAGGCCCUUGGGUAUCACAUGAGGCAAUCUUGCCUCGGCUGCUUCCCUGUGGCUUUGGCAAGCGUGCUGGUCAGAUGAAGGAAGAGCAGGAAAGCGGAAGUCAGCGAGUCAUCUGACUGCUGCUCUUUUCCUCUGGGCUCUUCUCGGGGCCAUCAGGGGCUGUGUGAGGCACAAGUUCCUGAAAUAGCUUAUUUUUAAUGCCCUGAAAGGAACCUGAGUGUUGGGCUGAGUAGAAGGCCUCAGAGCACAGCGGUGGUGUGAUGUCAGGCGUGCGUGAACUGGUACUGAGCUAGACUACUCUCCGUGUAUGGCACUUUGCUCUAUUAAGCAUGUUUUGUUUGUUUUGUUUUAAAUUUUUUUGACAAGAUUUCUUGCAGCCCAGAUUGACCUUUGACUUGCUAUGUAGCUGGAGAUGACCUUGAACUCCUGCUUCUCCUACCUCUACCCUAUAAGUGCUAUGGUUUUAGAUGGAGGCAGUGCCUGAAGAGGGUGUCAGAUCCCAUGGAACUGGAGUUACAAGAAACUGUGAGCUCCAGGGUUGUGUACUUGGAUUAUCCUUGGCUCUGGAAGAAGGAGGAAGACUCUGUGGAGUAAGAAGGAGGUGGAUGUCUUCCUGGUCAGUUUCACUGUUAUGC